GGUUUUCUUGGGUGAAAAGUAUUUUCUUUAGCUAUUAAUAUGCCAUUUUGAACUCCUGUUUUUAAAUCGACAUGACUAAAUGGUCUUACGUUAAAGACCGAGCAAAAUACGGUGUUGCUGUCUGUAAUUUUAAACAAGAUGGACCGCAUCGGUUGCAUCUUACUGUUGGAGAAACAGUGCACAUUUUGCAAGAAAAUGAAGUUAUUCCAUCACAUCGCGGGCAAAUGGUGAGGCUAUUCCA